GCUCACUUUGGAAGCAAACACUAAAAUUGGAAUAAUACAGAGAAUAUUAUCAUGGCCCCUUGCACAAGGAUGACACACAAAUUUGUGAAGUGCUCUAUAUUUUU
ensembl:snRNA U6 U6 spliceosomal RNA